rnacentral:rRNA from 1 species
AUUGAACGCUGGCGGCAGGCCUAACACAUGCAAGUCGAGCGGAUGAAGGGAGCUUGCUCCUGGAUUCAGCGGCGGACGGGUGAGUAAUGCCUAGGAAUCUGCCUGGUAGUGGGGGAUAACGUCCGGAAACGGGCGCUAAUACCGCAUACGUCCUGAGGGGGAAAGUGGGGGAUCUUCGGACCUCACGCUAUAAGAUGAGCCUAGGUCGGAUUAGCUAGUUGGUGGGGUAAAGGCCUACCAAGGCGACGAUCCGUAACUGGUCUGAGAGGAUGAUCAGUCACACUGGAACUGAGACACGGUCCAGACUCCUACGGGAGGCAGCAGUGGGGAAUAUUGGACAAUGGGCGAAAGCCUGAUCCAGCCAUGCCGCGUGUGUGAAGAAGGUCUUCGGAUUGUAAAGCACUUUAAGUUGGGAGGAAGGGCAGUAAGUUAAUACCUUGCUGUUUUGACGUUACCAACAGAAUAAGCACCGGCUAACUUCGUG